rnacentral:rRNA from 1 species
CCUACGGGUGGCUGCAGUGGGGAAUAUUGCGCAAUGGGCGAAAGCCUGACGCAGCGACGCCGCGUGAGGGAUGAAGGUCUUCGGAUCGUAAACCUCUGUCAGCAGGGAAGAACGGUCACUGUGCUAAUCAGCAGUGCAUUGACGGUACCUGCAAAGGAAGCACCGGCUAACUCCGUGCCAGCAGCCGCGGUAAUACGGAGGGUGCGAGCGUUAAUCGGAAUUACUGGGCGUAAAGCGCUCGUAGGCGGUAUGUCAAGUCAAAGGGGAAAUCCCCGCGCUCAACGUGGGAACUGCCUUUGAAACUGGCAGAAUGGAGUGUGUGAGAGGAGAGUGGAAUUCCAGGUGUAGGGGUGAAAUCCGUAGAUAUCUGGAGGAACAUCAGUGGCGAAGGCGACUAUCUGGCACAUAACUGACGCUGAGGAGCGAAAGCGUGGGUAGCAAACAGGAUUAGAUACCCGAGUAGUC